ACUAGGUUCAACAAAUACCAUCAAAAGAAGAUGCCGAUAGAACACAUGUCUUCACAAAUCUCUGUCCAGGGAGCUGUAGAUAUACCUCAUGUUUUUAGGAUCCUUCAUUUUAUUGUGUCCUUUGGGUGACCCCAGGAUCUCUUUGGAGAUUAGGCCUGGCUAUGUUAAAAGGAAGAAAAUACAAAUGCCACCAAGAAAGGUAAUCACAACCUUUAUUUAAAACAUGAAAACGAACCAAAGAUGAGAAGAUGACUGUGAUUAGGAGCGGCCCUGAUGAAUUCCCUGAUGCAUCGUCUUUCUUCCCACCCACAAUUUGAAGAGGCUCUACCAAAAAGAAGACAAAGCUGUUAGACAAAUCCCUGGAGGCAUUCCCUUUUUAAAAAUGUUUUUUAAAUUUUUUCCAAUUACAUAUAAAAAAACAAUUUUUAUCAUUCAUUUUUUCAAGUUUUGAGUUCCAAAUUUUCUCCCUCCUUCUUUCCCUUUCAAAAGGCAAGCAAUUUGAUAUAGGUUAUACAUAUAUAGUCAUGUAAAACAUAUUUCCACAUUAGUCCUGUUGUGAAAAAAAAUCACAGACAAAAAAAAAAAGAGAAAUAAAGGAAGUAAAAAAGAGUAUGCUUCA
rnacentral:lncRNA from 1 species